UACCAUUCUGAGUUAAUGUGGCUCAGAUAAAUAUUGAUAUAUGACAUGGACUUCUUCAAGAGGGCAUAUUUAUGUUUACAGUUUACAUCCCCAAUAACUAUUCAGAUAGUGAUUAUCUAUGAUUGGUGUUUGAUAUUCCUAUCAUACACUGCUAGUUGAUCCCACCUCAGGUGAACCGGAUAUAAAGAGAGCAUUUGCAAAAUGGAGGUGGAGCCAUAAUUAUAUUUGGCAAGUAUUAAUGUGUGCAAGGAGAGUUUUUUACAAGACAGAUAUGGAAAUCCCCCAAAUCCCAAAGCUGCAGUAUUAUUUCAUUUUUUGAAAGGAAAGUGUUAAGGUGUGCACUACUCCUUUGUUUGACUAACCUACUAUAAAAGACCCUCACACAAUUAGCUUUCCUCCUUGGAAUCCUUAUGUACAUAACAAAACCAGAGAGAAAUGCUGACUCAGAAAAAGCCUGAAGAACAGCACAAUAAAAGUAUUCAUGUUACCAGCUUGGCAUGGGUGAAGCCUGGCUCAAUACAACCUUCAGUAAAGAAGACAACAAUGGCAGCUUAA
rnacentral:lncRNA from 1 species